rnacentral:rRNA from 1 species
AGCUCUGAUUUGCUUAUUGCACCACAUGUGUUUUUCUUUGAAACAAACUUGCUUUGGCGGUGGGCCCAGCCUGCCGCCAGAGGUCUAAACUUACAACCAAUUUUUUAUCAACUUGUCACACCAGAUUAUUACUAAUAGUCAAAACUUUCAACAACGGAUCUCUUGGUUCUCGCAUCGAUGAAGAACGCAGCGAAAUGCGAUACGUAAUAUGAAUUGCAGAUAUUCGUGAAUCAUCGAAUCUUUGAACGCACAUUGCGCCCUCUGGUAUUCCGGAGGGCAUGCCUGUUUGAGCGUCGUUUCUCCCUCAAACCGCUGGGUUUGGUGUUGAGCAAUACGACUUGGGUUUGCUUGAAAGACGGUAGUGGUAAGGCGGGAUCGCUUUGACAAUGGCUUAGGUCUAACCAAAAACAUUGCUUGCGGCGGUAACGUCUACCACGUAUAUCUUCAAACUUUGACCUCAAAUCAGGUAGGACUACCCGCUGAACUUAAGCAUAUCAAUAAGCGGAGGAAA